ACGAACGCUGGCGGCGUGCUUAACACAUGCAAGUCGAACGGAAAGGCCCUGCUUUUGUGGGGUGCUCGAGUGGCGAACGGGUGAGUAACACGUGAGUAACCUGCCCUUGACUUUGGGAUAACUUCAGGAAACUGGGGCUAAUACCGGAUAGGAGCUCCUGCUGCAUGGUGGGGGGUGGAAAGUUUCGGCGGUUGGGGAUGGACUCGCGGCUUAUCAGCUUGUUGGUGGGGUAGUGGCUUACCAAGGCUUUGACGGGUAGCCGGCCUGAGAGGGUGACCGGGCACAGUGGUGCGAAGAGGCGCGCGGGAGGAAUGCGGGUGGAAGCAGGGGGGGUGGGGGCGGAAGGGUCGGGGGCCUGAAGCAGCGGCGCCGCGUGGGGGAGGACGGCCGGCGGGAUGGAAAACGCAUGCGCCGGUGACGAACGUUCCAGGAGGGUAGUGAAUAAGAGAGCAACGGCGAACUACGUG
rnacentral:rRNA from 1 species